rnacentral:rRNA from 1 species
AAUAUUGCACAAUGGAGGGAACUCUGAUGCAGCAACGCCGCGUGAGGGAAGAAGGUUUUCGGAUCGUAAAACACUGUCCUUGGGGAAGAAUAAAUGACGGUACCCAAUCAGGAAGACCCGGCAAACUACGUGUCAGCAGCUGCGGUAAUACGUAGGGGGCGAGCGGUGUCCGGAAUUACUGGGCGUAAAGGGUACGUAGGCGGCUAUAUAAGUCAGGUGUGAAAUACCAGUGCUUAACACUGGAAUUGCAUUUGAAACUGUGUAGCUUGAGUGCAGGAGAGGAAAGUGGAAUUCCUAGUGUAGCGGUGAAAUGCGUAGAGAUUAGGAGGAACACCAGUGGCGAAGGCGACUUUCUGGACUGUAACUGACGCUGAGGUACGAAAGCGUGGGUAGCGAACA